rnacentral:sRNA from 1 species
AUGGGGACGCCAUUUCCGGGCCUGCAACACCGAGACGGUGGUGGAGGCGUGGCGGUAAUGGCGGGACCAGUGAAAGCUAUGGAGUCCACACCGUCGAAAACUUGUUUGAAGAACUCGUCGCUUAAGCCCCCGAUCCUAAUCUUCUUGUUCUUCCACAAGGCUAUACGUUCCGAGCUCGAGAGGUUACACCAUGCCGCCGUGACUUUUGCUACCGCCGGUGGCGAUAUCAAGCCCUUGUUCGACAGCUACCAUUUUCUCCGAGCUAUUUACAAGCACCACUGCAAUGCCGAGGACGAGGUGUGUUUUGUAAUUUUUUGGAUUUCUUUCAGAUUGGAAAUUUUUUUUUUGGAGGUUAAAUAAUAUGAAUUUUCUAUCAGUUUUUGUUUAUUUAGGUUUUAGCUUGAAUAAAAUUGAUUAUCCUUUUUGGCUGUGUGUUUACUUAAUUUGGAAUUUUGGAUAGUAUACGGAUUUAUGAGUAUUAAAAAUUUGGAACUGUGUUUUUCAAAUUUUACUUAAAAAAGAAAAAAACAUUGGAAGGCUUUGGUUGAUGAUAGUGGUGACGGUUCAAUUUUCUUCUGAUAUUUCAAUUGGUUUAAUUGAGAGGUUAUGUUAAUUGGAAGCGAAUAUCAAAUCUUGCUCCACUUUUGUGUUCAUUCAUGUGUUGGAUUGAGCUACAUGUGUUAUUGUGUGUCUAGCUUCCCCGUUAGGAUUGCGAGAGGAAGUUAGAAAAUGAUAUUAGAAGCUAAAUCCGCAGUUGGUUGUUGCAUUAUCAUGAUAAUUUCAAAUAAUUUAAAAUGAUGAUUUCAAAUAAUUUAAAAUUUUCAAGCUUCUUUGGCAACAAUUCAUUGUAAGUACAAUUUUGCAGAAACGUUAUUCAUGCUUCAUUGAUAUGUGGCCCUGAUGUAUGAGUUAUCGGGAUUUUAAUUAGAGUCUUGGAUUUGUAUAUGGGUGCCUUAAGUUACAACUUACUCUGACCUAAAUGUAUUGUUUCUUGCCUCCGAAUGUACUUGCCAAUAAAGGCAGUCUUACAAGGAAGACACCAACUGCUGAACUGCCACAUGGCUCAAAUUUAGGGUUUUUUGGACACUUACAUCGCCAUAUUAUUUAUAUAUUUAUUUAUUUAUUUUUAAUAUUCAUGAUAAGAAGAAGGGUAGAAUCCAGUAAGAGGAAUACAAAAACCAGGAACAUUACAAAACUGCUGGGUUUACCCAGCAAUAAUGGGAUCACCAUAUUAAUCGGAACACUAGUUUCGAUUUACAAACAUGGUCUCAGUGACACCUAUUUUUGACACCUAUCUUGGUAUGCAAUCCAUUGGAUUAGAAAACUUUCCCCUUUUAUAAUAAAUUCCAAACUAUUUUUGAUUUUGUUCAUCAUUUUAAUGAGGUUUAUCUCUAAGAAAGUAUGAGUGGUUAUAUUUCUCUCAUUUAUCACACCACAAUAGCAUGUAAAUUUGACUCACUUGUUCUAUUGAAAUAAACAAUGGGGCAUUCCCUCACUUGUAACUCACUGAAUGGCUUUGAAUGUAGGUAGAGCUUUGUGAUUCAAAUUUUACUGGAUUCAUAACUAUUUUACUAUCAGGAAUUGCUUGCAUAUGUGUCUUUGGGCUAUACAAUAUCACUCUUUUCUAAUUUUUAACAUGUCUAUUGAUGUUUGUUGUUUCACUUUGCUCAUUAAGAAGAUGCUGCCAGGACAAGUGAAUAAUGGUGUCGCCUUUGCAGCGUUUGCUAUAAUUUCUUAUAAUAUUAAAUAAAUAUGGUGUGCCGUGCAUAGAUCUCCUUGUUGUGGUUAGCUUAGGAAACGUUUAUUUGGAGCUUCCAUUGUUGCUAUAUAUGUUGCUGACUCCAUCUGCAGCCCAUCAGGACCUUAAAUUGCUUGUUGCUCUGACAUAGUUGAUAUUUCAAGAAUUGAGAGGAUUAGUGUUAAUGAUAACAAUCCAGGCAUGUAAGCUUUAUUUUAUGUUCUGUAGAGCUUAGUUGGCUAGGAUAUGUUUCUUUUUGCAAUAUGGGUUAUGCUAAUGGGGAACGAUACUUUGACUUGAGGUAUGAUGGAGACAAACAGAGUUGGUUCACUACUUUGGGUCAUCAGUUCACUUGGAAAGCUAAUUUUGGGUCACAAUCAUAUAAUGUUUAUGUAUGUAUAUAUACAUAUGCACAGACAUGCACAUCUAAAACUUAAAGAUCAAAAGAAUUUGUAUAUAAAUUACAGAAGUGAUAAGUAACAUUCAACACUUUUAGUAGUAAGCUCUUAAAUAAAUGAGAAAUGCAGACUUAUUAAAUCAUGUGUUAUCAGUUCACUUUGGAAAGUUCCUUUUUGUCUUUCAUCAAUUAAGAUUAUUACAUCAUUUUUUCUUUUGGCAUUGUAGGUUAUCUUUCCAGCUCUGGAUAUACGUGUAAAGAAUGUUGCUAGAACUUACUCACUAGAGCAUGAGGGAGAAAUUGUUCUUUUUGAUCAGUUGUUUGAGCUGUUAAAGUCAAAUUUGCAAAAUGAAGAAAGCUAUAGAAGAGAGUUGGCUUCUUGUACUGGAGCUCUUCAAACAUCAAUCAGCCAGCAUAUGUUCAAGGAAGAGGAACAGGUGUUUGUUUGUUUCAUUUCUAUUGUGAUAGUUUUUUUAAUAGAUUAUUAUGGUAGUUUUAUUUCAUUUUAUUAUAUUUAGGGUAUACUUGAUUGGAUCUAAUGAAUGUCAUACAAAAACAACAACAACAACAAUCAAGUCUUAGUCCCAAAAUUUUGGGGUCGGUUGUGGAUCCUUAAUAGACUAAUCAGGGUGGGCCAUAUGUAUUAUUUUCCAUCAUUUGAUAAUUAAAGGGCAAUUUUUUUAAAUCCUUGUGUACUGGGUGGCGUUUUUCAUGUUCAAUAAAAUUUUAGUCCUUAUAUUAAAAAAAUAAAAAUUAUAUGAAUUAUGAAAGUAAGUAGUAUACAAGAUUUCAUAGGGAGUACUAAUUUUUUAUUCUUUUUGACUGUAAUCCUCACUAAAAGUUAUAUUCAUAACAGUAAAUGUGUUGUAUUUUUUGCACAAAUUGGGAUAUAUACAUUCCUUGGAUGUCUUGAUACAUUUUGUAUUCUCCUCUGGUCAUUGCUUCUACUUCAGUAGGCAGCUGUUGUUUGAGUAGCCAGUGAUAAUUUCAGAGAAGCUCUGAUCAGGUCAUUUUUUAAGAAGAUGCUUUACAUGUCAAGGCUCCCUUGAGGAACCCCUCCCUUCCUUUGGCUGUGCAGGAAUUUUUUUUUAAUGAAACCAUCAUGGGCCAUUACGAAUAUCCAAUUUGAGGUUUGGUGUGUCUAGAUCGUUUAUAUGUGAUGUGAGAAAGAUAUGCAUCUUUGCUAUAUAGUGUUCUGUAAGCUGGCCGGUCUGCAGACAUUAUAUGGAGGGCCUCUAUUAUGUCAUCAAAUUUAUGAAGAGGGAGGCUUCUUCUUCAGUUGUUUUAAGCUCUCCAAGUUUUUUUGGUCCUGGUUUCUUGCCAAAAGGACUUUUUUCCCCUAAACAGUUAUAUAAUGUAUAUCACACAUCAGUAGUUAUCCAAGUGCCUAAGAUGUUUUAUCGUACAAUGAGAAUGAUUCUGAAAACGAUGAUAAGCUAUUAAACUCAUCUUUAAUUUUUCCUUAAGGUUUCUUGUCCACGGCUUAGUAUGUGUUGCUACUUGCAUGCCAAGACAUAGAAUUUAACAAUUUGUUUGAUUGGAAGGGAAGAAACAGGAGGGAAUGAGGAGGAGGAGGGGGGGGAGAUGGCUAACUACCUUUUUCUUCCUAUGUUUGGUUGAUCAAAGAAGAGAGGAGAGAAGAAAUAACAAAUGGUGGGCGUGAGUGGAAUAAAAAAUAUAUAGACAUUAGACAACCAUUUUUUCCAUCCCGUUCCCUCCACUUAUGGAUGAAAAAGUUUGGUGGGGAAGAGAGGAAAGGAACCCCUUUCCUCUUCCUUACAUUGUUCCACUUUCAUCCACACCAGCAUGAGUAAUAAUGAAACCUUCCUUCCUGCUUCAUUCUCAGCCAAAUGAUGUGUAAGUCGUACACGAUACAAAAUUAGCGGUGGGUUAACUCCUUUAAAAUUCUCCAUUAUAUGUUGCUCUAGAUGGAGCUGACAGUUGAUCAUGUGCUCUAGUCUUUAGGAUGUAAGAUUUGAUACUUGUUACAAAAUACACGGAACUGAGUUUUUUUUUUUUUUGAUAAGUAACGGAAGAUAUAUAUUAAAGAAGAACACAGCCCCAUACAUAGGAAAUGUACUAGACAGUCAAAAACAAACUGAGUUUGUUUUUAUACUACCCUCCGCACUUCACCAGCCAUCCAUAUAGAGCUUACUAUGCAGGGCUAGAACUACUUAUCAAAAAAUAAAAAGUAUGCUGAGUUAGAAGUAAGUUUGGACCUUACUCUUUUGGCAGGUCUUCCCCUUGCUUAUUGAGAAGUUUUCAUUUGAAGAGCAGGCCAUGUUGGUAUGGCAGUUUCUUUGCAGCAUUCCUGUCAACAUGAUGGCGAAAUUUCUUCCUUGGCUUUCUUCCUCUAUAUCAUCUGAUGAACGUCAGGACAUGCAGAAGUGCUUGUGCAAAAUAAUUCCAGAAGAGAAGCUUCUUCAGCAGGUGAGGACUCUUUUUGGUGGAAAAUCAUUUUGGAUGGUUUUAUGAGAAAAUUAGGCUAACUUUAUCUUGGCUCAAGUGAAGGUUGUAUUUGCCUGGAUGGAAGGGCUAAGAGUGUCUGAAAUGCAGAAAAGUUGUGAAGAUAAUCUUAAGGUCAGAUGUCAAGAUUCUGUGGCUAGCACCUUUAUCAGUCAGACUGAGCAGGGGAAGUGUGCAUGUGAAUCUUCCAAAACUGGUAAAAGGAAGCAUAUGGAGCUAAAUGCUGAUCAUACCAAUUCCACUGUGUCUUGUCCUAUAGAUGAAAUAUUGCUUUGGCAUAAAGCUAUAAAAAUAGAGUUGAAUGAUAUAGCCGAGGCUGCUAGGAAGAUACAAAUUUCUGGAGAUUUUUCUGAUUUGUUUGCAUUCAACAAGAGGCUGCAAUUCAUUGCAGAGGUCUGCAUCUUUCACAGGUUUGGUUUUUCAGCCAUGUUACCUAUUUUAAUUUUCUUUACUGGAAAAUGAGUCUUUAAAUGUAAUUCUUCAAUUGUGGCAUACUUAAUGUGAUUUGCCUUGUGGACAAGGACUAACUAUGGGAUAAUGGUCAGUGGUACCAUGGCCUAGUUCACAGACUUCCCUUUUAUUCCUAAACCUAUUUUUAUACUUAGAAGUUCUGUUAAUAAAGUAUGGAAGGAUUCAAGCAGUAAAGUUACCUUAAAGUGCAUGGUUUAGUAUUUAAGAAUUUUUGAAUUUGAUGGGUCUUUUCUUUUCGCUGUCUGCUGUAAGGCUGUCUGGAUUCAUAUAUUUAUUAUUUUUACUUUUAAUUCUUACCUUAGACCUAGAAAGCAAUAAUUUUUAGUAAUGAAAGAGGACAUGUAACAGUGACAUGUCUUUCUCAUAUCUUAUGAAACAUUUUAUGAAAUGAGCUUCUAUUGUUUCUCUGACUGCAGCAUUGCUGAGGACAAAAUUAUAUUCCCUGCUGUAGAUGCAGAACUCUCUUUUGCUCAGGAGCAUGCAGAAGAAAAAAUUCAAUUUGACAAGCUUAGGUGCCUGAUAGAAAGCAUCCAAAGUGCUGAAGCCAACUCAACAUCUGCUGAAUUUUGUACAAAGUUGUGCUCUCAGGCUGAUCAAAUAAUGGACAACAUACAGAAACAUUUUCAUGAUGAGGAAGCUCAGGUGAGUACUUUCGCAAGAAAUGACACAUAUUCUGCAUUUUACGCCAUAUUCUUUGUAGAAAACGGUAAUAACUUUUUAUCUGCAUUUAGAACUUGAGAAAGACAUUCAAGCAUCUUACCUGUCCUUAAAAGCUAUCUAACUUUUCCUUUUGAAGUGCAGGUUCUUCCACUUGCUCGAAAGCAUUUUAGCCCUGAAAAACAGCGUGAACUCCUGUAUAAGAGUUUAUGUGUGAUGCCCUUGAAAUUGAUUGAAUGUGUCUUGCCAUGGUUGGUAGGAUCAGUUAGUGAUGAAGAAGCCUCAUUCUUCCUCCAGAAUAUGUAUAUGGCAGGUUCAAUAUCAGUUCUCAACUUUUUCUUAUUUAUAUAUGUUGUUAAAAAAGUGUGUGCUGCUCUGCUUUGUAUCUGUUCCUAACUUUUGGAGUUGUCUGAUGCAGCUCCAGCAUCAGAUUCUGCACUGGUCAAACUUUUUUCUGGCUGGGCCUGUAAAGGUCGUUUAAGGAAUGUUUGCUUGUCUUCAAGUGCAAUCAGUGGUUGUUCUGCAAGGGUAUCAACUGGCAAGGAAGAAUAUGUUAGCCAACCGCUCUGUACAUGCGCCUCUUUGUCUUCUACUGAGGAAAAACGUUCAUUCACUCAAGCAGAUGACAAUAGAAGGCCGGUCAAACGUGGAAUCUCAAUACCACAGGAAGACAGUGAUGCUCAUCAUACUAAAGAAGCUGGUAAUUCCGUUAUGUUACCUUGCAGUAAUCAGUCUUGCUGUGUCCCUGGGCUAGGAGUGAAUGGCAAUAAUUUAGGAGUGACUUUAGCUGCAGCAAAGUCACUACGCUCCCUAUCUUUUAGUCCUUCUGCUCCUUCACUUAAUUCAAGUCUUUUUAACUGGGAAAUAGACAUAGCCUGUACCAACGCUGGAUCUGCAACACGACCUAUUGAUAACAUAUUUAAGUUUCAUAAAGCCAUUCGCAAAGACUUGGAGUAUUUGGACGUUGAAUCCGGAAAGCUUAAUGAUUGCAAUGAGACCUUUCUUAGGCAGUUUACUGGCAGAUUUCGUUUGUUAUGGGGUUUAUAUCGGGCUCAUAGUAAUGCAGAGGAUGAUAUAGUAUUCCCAGCAUUAGAAUCUAAAGAGACACUUCAUAAUGUGAGCCACUCUUACACUCUGGACCACAAGCAGGAAGAGAAACUAUUUGAGGAUAUUUCUUCUGUGCUUUCUGCGCUUACACAACUGCAUGAGCGCUUGAACGGUACAAAAUUUUCUGAUCAUUCAAUUGAAAGUAACUUAGAUCCUUCUGAUCAUAAUGAUUCCAUGAGAAAGUACGAUGAGCUCUCCACUAAGCUUCAGGGCAUGUGCAAAUCCAUUAGAGUAACAUUGGAUCAACAUGUUUACCGGGAAGAACUAGAGUUGUGGCCACUGUUUGACAGACAUUUUUCUGUGGAAGAUCAGGACAAAAUUGUUGGUAGAAUAAUUGGUACUACAGGUGCAGAAGUCCUUCAAUCAAUGUUGCCAUGGGUCACUUCUGCUCUUACUCAGGAGGAGCAGAAUAAAAUGAUGGACACGUGGAAGAAUGCAACUAAAAAUACAAUGUUCAGUGAAUGGCUUAAUGAAUGGUGGGAGGGAAAUUCUGCUGCAUCUCCACAGACGACAACAUCGGGGAGUAGCAUUUCACUAGGUUCGUGUGGUGCUUCUUUUAGUGGUGCAUUGGAUCCUAGUGUUUGCAGUUUAUUUUUUCAGUUCUGUUUUAUAUAUAAAAAAGGAUGUCAUAUAAGUUAAGUUGAAGAUUCGUAUUGUUAAGAUUUCUUUCUCAAAAGUUAAGUAUGUUGAAGAUUCAUAUUGUUAAGAUUUCUUUCUCAAAUAUUCCAAAUUUACAAUAUCAGGCACUGAUGCUUAUGAAAGCUUGGACCACACUGAUCUCACUUUCAAGCCUGGAUGGAAAGAUAUCUUUAGGAUGAAUCAAAAUGAGCUUGAAUCUGAAAUAAGAAAAGUUUCUAGAGAUUCAACUCUUGAUCCAAGAAGAAAAGCAUAUCUUAUUCAAAAUCUUAUGACCAGGUCAGUUAAUGUUGUGACCCUUAAACUUAUGCACCCCUUAUUAGAUUAAUAUGCUGUUUGUAUGCUUCAAUAUAUAAUUGGACUAUUUAGAUUAAUAUGUUUUUUACGUGUAAUGAUAUAUAAAUGGGUUAUGUUAGUCGGUGGAUAGCAUCUCAGCAGAAGUUACCUCAGGCAACAGCAGGUGAAAGUUCAAAUUCUGAAGAUUUACUUGCAUGUUCUCCAUCGUUUCGUGAUUCAGAGAAACAAGUAUUUGGGUGUGAGCAUUACAGAAGAAAUUGUAAGCUCCGUGCUGCAUGCUGUGGCAAGUUAUUUACAUGCAGGUUCUGCCAUGAUAAAAUCAGUGACCAUUCAAUGGAUAGGUAUAUUUGUGCCAUAUAUUAUUGUCUGCUUGAUUAUCAAUGGACUUCUAUGUAUUAUUUUUUAAUAUUAAUUUAUUUGCAGGAAGGCUACAACUGAAAUGAUGUGUAUGUGCUGCUUGAAAAUUCAGCCUGUUGGACCAGUUUGCUCAACUCCUUCAUGUGGUGGACUGUCAAUGGCAAAGUACUAUUGCAGUAUUUGCAAAUUUUUUGAUGAUGAAAGGUACAUACUUUUGUUUUAACUUUUUUUCUCCCUAAUUAUUUAUCAAUGAAUCAGGUUUUUUUUUUUAGAUUUCAAUAUAAUGCAAAAUGGACAAAGUUUAGCUACAAAAUUAGUUAUAGCCUAAGGCUACAACUUCUUUAAUAAAAUUAACAUUACUAUAUAUUUUGAAAAUCUAACCGUUGAAUUGCAUGUUCUUUACAUUUUUAAUUCACAUGUCAAAUUCUGUGCCAAUUAGAUAUUAUUUAUUAUAUGAUUUAUAGGCUUAUAUUUUAUGCAUAACAAUUUAUUGAUGACAUAGUUAUUGUUCUUUAAUUUUUUAGAAAUUUUGGAAGCAUGGAGGAUAUAAGAAGAAAAUGUAAUCCAAUAGUAGAUUUGUCAAAAUUCCAUGAAAAAUUAUAAGAUAUAUAAGCUCCGUUUGGAUAGAAAUGAUUUGCAUCUGCGUUUGGUUUGCUCUGUGUUUUUGGCUCUUUUUUUUUUUUUUUUUUUUUUUUUUAUUUUUUUUUUUUUUUUUUUUUUUUUAAGUCCAGCGUCUCAUGAACAGUGCAACCAGGCCAAUGAACAGUGACAAAAAUAAUUUUUUUUUAUUGUUUUCAGUUUUCAGCAAAAUAAGCAGUAUCUAAAUGCACACAUAAUUUAUCUGAAUUAAAUUUUUUUAGACUUAAACAGAGGGCUAUGAGGGUCCCCACCAACUGUGGGUUGAAAUUAUCAUAUAUUGCACAUCAAAGUACAUGUUUAUCAUUUAUUGGACUUGGAACUUGCUGCUAACCAGCAAAUAAGCAUGUCUAAAGUCUAAACCAUUGGGCCACACACAUUAAUAUAUAAAUACAUAAAUACAAUUUAAGUAUCAAAUCCACUAAAAAAUUAAAUGACAUGACAUGUCACAAUUUUAACUCGGUUGAACCCCGGUCCAAUCUCAAAAGCCUUAACCUCUCAUUUUUUGGUUCUUUGAAUUUUCCGGGUUUCAAAACCAUGGUAAUGAUCAAUUUAUUUCUUGAGAAGUUUUGGUGUUAUAUAUGUUUGAUAUGGUAACAAACUGGUAGUGCAUGUGUCCAUAAUCAUUUAUUGCUAUUUAAUCCGUAGGGAUAUUCUAAAUGGUCUGUUCAGUAUGGCGAUUAGGGUUAGUUUCUUCUGAUUCUGAUCGUUUUGGUAACAUAUGUGGUUAGGAUUGCUGAAGUGGAUUACUUAAUUUUCUUAUAUAUUUUUAUUUCAGGACAGUUUAUCAUUGUCCUUUUUGCAAUUUAUGCCGUCUGGGGAACGGACUUGGCAUUGAUUACUUUCACUGCAUGACGUGCAAUUGUUGCCUGGGGAUAAAGUUAGUAGAUCACAAGUGCCGGGAGAAAGGUCUGGAAACAAACUGUCCCAUUUGCUGUGAUUUUUUGUUCACGUCAAGUGCAACUGUUCGAGCUCUUCCAUGUGGCCAUUUUAUGCAUUCAGAUUGUUUCCAGGUCUGCAUUUUGUUGCCUUCUUUUCUUUAGUUCCUGUACUGAAGUUCUGCUUGAACUUUUGACUUCUUAUAACGAUUUUAUCAGUGCUUAAUGUGAUAUCCUACUUAUUUAUUAUCUCAGGCAUACACCUGCAGUCACUAUGUUUGCCCAAUUUGUAGCAAAUCUUUGGGAGAUAUGGCUGUAAGUGUUUUAAUAUCACUUCAUCUGUUAUACUGUUAUCAAGAUCCAUCCAUUGAUGAGCUCUUUGGGUAUCACACUGAAAUAACCAUAUCCAACUUGCCCUUUUUUUCUUUCAAAAAACUUAAAAUUGGACUAUUUUGAGUCUUAGUGGCAUAUAGGUGAGGAAUUUUCACAUAUAUAAUUUAAUAAAAUUCUCUGUGUUAUCAUUCUUUUAGGAUUAUAUAAAUCUCACAACUAUAUGAAUUUUCUAGAUAAGUAAUCAAGAGUUAUUGAAAUUCUGGAAGCCCUAAAGUAAGAGCUUUGUAACGAUUACAACCAAAGACUUAAAAUGAAAUCGGAACCUCCUGAUCAUUGUACAACAUUUAAAUAGGAAAGAGUAAUGUUAGGGACAUUGUUUUUUUGUAACUCUUUUCACAACCAUUGACAUGGGGUUGUGAUUGGAGCAACAUCUCUCUCUCUUGGAUAUACCACUGUCUCCACUUUUAUUAUGUACCAAUUGCAACCUAGGAAGCAUGGACAUGGCAAAAUUGCCAAUGUAUUGGUGUGAGACAUGUAUCCGAGAUGGACACGUAUCCGACAUAGACACAAACAUGUCAAACACACACUUAGGAAGAAAAAAUCAUUUUUUAAUUAAGUUGUUCUAUUUUGAUGUUGAAUGUUGUUUAUUUGAACUCUUUUUAUGGGUGUCUGGUUUAUUUGAACUCUUUCAUUCGUACUUUAAACACUAUUUAUUGUCUUUAAAUUAAUUUGAGAUAUAUUUCCAAACAUUUCAUUGUUUUUACAUACGUUUUAAAUCCAAAAUAAACAUAACUUAUUCCAAAUAAAAAAUAUAUAUACCUAAAAAUACAUAUUAAUUAAUUAAUUGUCAUAUCCUCGUGUAUCGUAUCCUAGUUUUUCAAGAAAUGUCAUGUCACUGUAUCAUGUAUCGUGUCUGUAUCCGUACUACAUAGAUUGCAACAGGCCGUUAUUAGUUGUGAAUAAAAUAGUGAAAAAUGUCUUGUUCUUGUACUUAUUGAAUGGAAAAUGCAAAAAAGAAGCCUUUAGGUCAACCACGAAUCUUUCAAUACCUUCAAAAGUAUGAACAAAUAUUGUAUGAUGAUGCUUAUUGGCUAACUUAAAUGGACCUCACUAUAAGCUUAAUGAAUGUCUCGAACUACUCAAAAGAAUCCUACAAUUGGUGUGGACUUGAUGAGCUAAUCUUUAAGUGAUACACAUCCAAGACGCUUAAGGGUGAAGCUAAUAGCAAGUACCACCAAAAUUUAUACUUGGUUAAUAAGUUGUGAAGAAUGUAUGUUUUUGCAUCUGUGUUUUCUUUAUUUUCCUAGUAUUCACACAACAUUCAUUUAAACAUUGUAAAUGUGAAUAAUACUCAAUUGUUAUGAGUGAAUGGAUGCGGUUUGGCUGGUUGGACUGAUACUAUCACCUGCAGAUGGAAGGUAAAGAAAAAAAAAUGAAAAUUUUUGUGGUGUGCAUCCUUUCAGGUUUACUUCGGCAUGCUUGAUGCUCUAUUGGCUUCUGAGGAACUCCCAGAAGAAUACAGGGAUCGUUGUCAGGUAAAAAACAGCCAGUCCUUUUUCAUCUUCAAAUUCUUUGGUAACCCUAUCAAGUUAUCAUUAUUAGCUGAGUAUUAAAGUGACUGUUUUUGUUAUUCUAGGAUAUACUGUGCAACGACUGUGAUAAGAAGGGGACCGCAGCCUUCCACUGGCUAUACCACAAAUGUGGGUUUUGCGAAUCCUAUAAUACCCGGGUAAUUAAGGUUGAUUCCAGUUACAACUGUUCAACAUCAAACUAGUUAGAACAUUUGGCGGCUUUCUUCUUGGUUUUAUUUGGGUUGUAAAUACCUUUGGCGGCAGCAUACCUACACAAGGCUUUGUAGAGUAAACAUUCCACACCAAAAAAAAAAUGGUGAAUACAAUUUUCCCGAAAAUUUCAGUGUUAUACCCCAAAACUGGUGAUCAUUCCCAAAGUUAGGAGGAUAGUGGAUGUUUGUUCCUUUUUAAUGAGUUUUCAACUGUUCUUUUCAUCAAUAUAGAAAUGGAAAAUAUAUUGCAUUGAGCAGGAGAGUUAUUAAUAACAAUCUUUACCAUUGCUAAACAAUCAAAGCUGAUUUGGGGUUCCUCAAUUUUAUAGGAUAAUAGACACGUGGAGCUUUAAGAUAUUUUUUGGCCUCAGAAUACUUCGAAAAAAAUGUGUAGUUCCGGGUGUGUUGGACAAAUAGAACUGCAACUUAUCCUCGGUGCCUCUGAUUAAUUGCAUGGAUGUGUUGUGUACAUGAAUUUGGAAACUGUAACUCAUUUUUCAAUGUGAAAUAAGUGGCAAAAGGGUUAUCAAUCAUGAAUCAUGGAGGUGGUUUUUUUUUAGGUAGAUAGUGGAGGUGGGAUUCUAACUAUGAUAUGAAGUACUAUAAAGGAUGAAAUUAUUAUUGAGCUAUUGUUUUUUGUUUUUCUGUUUUUGGUUAGGAUUGGGCUAUCACUUGAACCCUAAUCAUGGAGGUAGUUUGAUAGACAAAUGGAAGUAGGUUAAACCAUGGUUGUCAAAAUUGGAUUUGGAUCAUAGGAUCGCACGAUUUUGUGAUUUUACCUCACUAAAACGUUUAAAAUCGCAUUAGGAUUGUAAAAAUGGUAGGAUCAUAUGUAGAAUCGUGUAGGAUUGUAGGAUCAUAUGAGAUCCUAUCGAUCCUACCAAAACAUUAGUUUUUGUUUUUUGUUAUGGGAUAAAUUUUUGGUUUUGAUGAAACUUUAAAGGUUUUUAUUUUUCUAUGUUGUGAUGGCAUGACUUUUUUUUUUUUUUUUUUAAUAAAAAAUAUAAUUAUGUUAACUUAAACAAAUGUUUUCUAGUUUCUAGUUUACUUGUAAUCAAAAUGAAGGAUGUUUCAUCAGUUCUAAAUGAAGAAUUUAUAUUGGCUUUGUUACCUUUUAAGUUAUAAUGUUGUUAAAUUUGUUUGAUCAAUAUAUUAAUUUGUGUUCUAAUAUUACUAAAAUGUUUUUUUAUACAUAAUUUAUUAGUGAGCUUGUAUUUGUAUAUUGAUUGAUUUUUUUUUUAGCAUGCUCUGUAAUAGUUGCUAAGUAGUAUAAUUUGAAUAGUUGAGUGUAAAGUUGUAUUUUGAUCUUUUUUGCAACUCUAGUAUAUAAAUAUACAAUGUAUACAUAAAUGAUGAAACGUGGUUAUAAGAACCCUAAAAUAGGAAUAAUUAAAUGUUCACUUCACCUCAAUAUUCAUCUUGUUUUUAGAUUUCAUAUUUUAGUUAGUUAGUUUUCAUUUGAUAACUUAUUUUGGAUUUUAAACUUGGAACUUGGAAAAUAUUUUCAUAUGUAUUGAUAAAUAUUUUGUUAUUUGGUUGCUAAUUAAACGUUGGGUCAAAACUUAAAUAUAUUUAUUUUGUUAAUAUAAAUAUAGCGAUGUAUGAUAUGCAAAUUGCAUCAUAUGAUGCAAAUCUUUGUUUUUUUAUGGAUAAAUUCACAAUUUACGUGAUUAUUUAAUAUAUAAAGUUAUUAAAUCUAAAAAUAUGUAGGAUCUUAUGAUUCACGAUCCGAUUCUAUGAUUCACAAUCUCACCCACUUCCUCCGAUCCUACAUAAGAUCUCGAUUUUGACAGGGUUAAAUGACUAGUUUGAUCCUCUAGUAAAGUUUAAUUUGGUCUAUCAACAAUUUAUUUGAGUCAAUUUAAUUCCUAAACUUCUAAAUAUUGGGUUUGAUUUUCAUUAAAAUUUUAACAUUCAAUCAACUAUCUCACCGCAUUUGCUUUGUGGAUUUGAUUGCAUCUACAUACUCUCAUCUCAUCUGCAAAUAGAUUUUGCCAACGCAAGAUGCAAAAUGA